rnacentral:misc_RNA from 1 species
GAUGAAGAACGCAGUGAAAUGCGAUAAGUAGUGUGAAUUGCAGAAUUCAGUGAAUCAUCGAGUCUUUGAACGCACAUUGCGCCCCCUGGUAUUCCGGGGGGCAUGCCUGUCCGAGCGUCAUUGCUGCCCUCAAGCACGGCUUGUGUGUUGGGCUUCCGUCCCUGGCAACGGGGACGGGCCCAAAAGGCAGUGGCGGCACCAUGUCUGGUCCUCGAGCGUAUGGGGCUUUGUCACCCGCUCCCGUAGGUCCAGCUGGCAGCUAGCCUCGCAACCAAUCUUUUUAACCAGGUUGACCUCGGAUCAGGUAGGGAUACCCGCUGAACUUAAGCAUAUCAAUAAGCGGAGGA